rnacentral:sRNA from 1 species
CGCUGUUGCUUUCUUGGACGUUUCCUCCCUAAACUUGGCGGUGCUUUCGGGCACCGCCAUUUUUUUUCGCGCGG